GACAGAGGAGCCAAGCGUUGUCCGGAUUGACUGGGCGUAAAGCGCACGCAGGCGGAUGCGCGCGUGGGGUGUGAAAUCUGGCCGCUUAACGGCCAGGCGCCAUCCCAUACGGCGCGUCUGGAGUGAUGCAGAGGUCGAUGGAAUUGCCGGUGUAGUGGUGAAAUGCGUAGAGAUCGGCAGGAACACCCAGGGGGAAACCAGUCGACUGGGCAUCUACUGACGCUGAGGUGCGAGAGCGUGGGGAGCAAACAGG
rnacentral:rRNA from 1 species